rnacentral:rRNA from 2 species
UACGGAGGGAGCUAGCGUUGUUCGGAAUUACUGGGCGUAAAGCGCGCGUAGGCGGUUUUUUAAGUCAGAGGUGAAAGCCCGGGGCUCAACCCCGGAAUUGCCUUUGAAACUGGAAAACUUGAAUCUUGGAGAGGUCAGUGGAAUUCCGAGUGUAGAGGUGAAAUUCGUAGAUAUUCGGAAGAACACCAGUGGCGAAGGCGACUGACUGGACAAGUAUUGACGCUGAGGUGCGAAAGCGUGGGGAGCAAACAGG